rnacentral:rRNA from 1 species
GCAUAUCAAUAAGCGGAGGAAAAGAAACCAACAGGGAUUGCCCUAGUAACGGCGAGUGAAGCGGCAACAGCUCAAAUUUGAAAACUGGCUCUCUUUGGGGGUCCGAGUUGUAAUUUGCAGAGGAUGCUUUGGCAUUGGCGGCGGUCUAAGUUCCUUGGAACAGGACAUCACAGAGGGUGAGAAUCCCGUACGUGGUCGCCUGCCUUUGCCGUGUAAAGCUCCUUCGACGAGUCGAGUUGUUUGGGAAUGCAGCUCUAAAUGGGAGGUAAAUUUCUUCUAAAGCUAAAUACUGGCCAGAGACCGAUAGCGCACAAGUAGAGUGAUCGAAAGAUGAAAAGUACUUUGGAAAGAGAGUCAAAAAGCACGUGAAAUUGUUGAAAGGGAAGCGCUUGCAGCCAGACUUGCCCGCAGUUGCUCACCUAGGCUUUGGCCUGGGGCACUCUUCUGCGGGCAGGCCAGCAUCAGUUUGGGCGGUUGGAUAAAGGCCUCUGUCACGUAUCUCCCUUCGGGGUGACCUUAUAGGGGAGGCGCAAUGCAACCAGCCCGGACUGAGGUCCGCGCUUCGGCUAGGAUGCUGGCGUAAUGGCUGUAAGCGGCCCGUCUUGAAACACGGACCAAGGAGUCUAACAUCUAUGCGAGUGUUUGGGUGUCAAGCCCGAGCGCGCAAUGAAAGUGAACGGAGGUGGGAACCCUUUGGGUGCACCAUCGACCGAUCCUGAUGUCUUCGGAUGGAUUUGAGUAAGAGCAUAGCUGUUGGGACCCGAAAGAUGGUGAACUAUGCUUGAAUAGGGUGAAGCCAGAGGAAACUCUGGUGGAGGCUCGCAGCGGUUCUGACGUGCAAAUCGAUCGUCAAAUUUGGGCAUAGGGGCGAAAGACUAAGCGAACCAUCUAGUAGCUGGUUCCUGCCGA